UAGAGUUUGAUCCUGGCUCAGGAUGACCCCUUGCGGCGUGCUUAACACAUUCAAGUCGAACGGACAACUUAGGAGCUUGCUCCUUUGUUGUUAGUGGCGGACGGGUGAGUAACGCGUGAGCAACCUGCCUUUUUCUGCGGAAUAACAUUGGGAAACCGGUGCUAAUACCGCAUAACAUGCACAAAUUGCAUAAUUUAUGCAUCAAAGGAGAAAUCCGGAAAAAGAUGGGCUCGCGUCUGAUUAGGUAGUUGGUAGGGUAAUGGCCUACCAAGCCCACGAUCAGUAGCCGGACUGAGAGGUCGAACGGCCACAUUGGAACUGAGAAACGGUCCAGACUCCUACGGGAGGCAGCAGUGAGGAAUAUUGGUCAAUGGGCGCUAGCCUGAACCAGCCAAGUCGCGUGAAGGAUGACAGAUCUAUGGUUUGUAAACUUCUUUUGCAGGGGAGUAAAGUGCGACACGUGUGUUGUAUUGCAAGUACCCUGCGAAUAAGCAUCGGCUAACUCCGUGCCAGCAGCCGCGGUAAUACGGAGGAUGCAAGCGUUAUCCGGAUUUAUUGGGUUUAAAGGGUGCGUAGGCGGGUUAUCAAGUCAGCGGUGAAAUUUUUCGGCUUAACCGUAAAAUUGCCGUUGAAACUGGUGAUCUUGAGUGCGAGCGAGGUAGGCGGAAUGUGCCGUGUAGCGGUGAAAUGCAUAGAUAUGGCACAGAACUCCGAUUGCGAAGGCAGCUUACUAGUACGCUACUGACGCUGAUGCACGAAGGCGUGGGGAUCAAACAGGAUUAGAUACCCUGGUAGUCCACGCAGUAAACGAUGAUUACUAGCUGUUUGCGAUAUACCGUAAGCGGCCGAGCGAAAGCAUUAAGUAAUCCACCUGGGGAGUACGUUCGCAAGAAUGAAACUCAAAGGAAUUGACGGGGGCCCGCACAAGCGGAGGAACAUGUGGUUUAAUUCGAUGAUACGCGAGGAACCUUACCCGGGCUUGAAAUGCAUCUGACCGAAGUGGAAACACUUUUUCUAGCAAUAGCAGAUGUGUAGGUGCUGCAUGGUUGUCGUCAGCUCGUGCCGUGAGGUGUCGGCUUAAGUGCCAUAACGAGCGCAACCCUUGCCGUUAGUUGCCAUCAGGUUAUGCUGGGAACUCUAGCGGGACUGCCACCGUAAGGUGUGAGGAAGGUGGGGAUGACGUCAAAUCAGCACGGCCCUUAUGUCCGGGGCGACACACGUGUUACAAUGGGCGGUACAGAGGGAAGCUACCCGGUGACGGGAUGCUAAUCUUUAAAACCGUUCUCAGUUCGGAUCGGAGUCUGUAACUCGACUCUGUGAAGCUGGAUUCGCUAGUAAUCGCGCAUCAGCCAUGGCGCGGUGAAUACGUUCCCGGGCCUUGCACACACCGCCCGUCAAG
rnacentral:rRNA from 1 species